rnacentral:rRNA from 1 species
GGAUUAGAUACCCUGGUAGUCCACGCUGUAAACGUUGCAUACUCGGUCUUAGCGAUACACAGUUAGGACCUAAGCGAAAGCAUUAAGUAUGCCACCUGGGGAGUACGGUCGCAAGAUUGAAACUCAAAGGAAUUGACGGGGGCCCGCACAAGCGGAGGAGCAUGUGGUUUAAUUCGAUGAUACGCGAGGAACCUUACCCGGGCUUGAAAGUUAGUGACGAAUUCCGAAAGGAGUUUUUCUAGCAAUAGACACGAAACUAGGUGCUGCAUGGCUGUCGUCAGCUCGUGCCG